rnacentral:rRNA from 1 species
UACGAAGGGUGCAAACGUUGCUCGGAAUCAUUGGGCGUAAAGCGCACGUAGGUGGCUCCGCAAGUCGGAUGUGAAAUCCCUUGGCUCAACCGAGGACGUGCAUCCGAAACUGCAGAGCUUGAGUAUGGAAGAGGGUCGCGGAAUCCCCGGUGUAGAGGUGAAAUUCGUAGAUAUCGGGGGGAACACCAGUGGCGAAGGCGGCGACCUGGGCCAAUACUGACGCUGAGGUGCGAAAGCGUGGGGAGCAAACAGG